CUGGUUUUUCUUUUGACCGUGGUGAGGUCUUUCAAGAAUUUUGUAUAGGAGGAAAUUUGUCGUAUGGCAUCGAGGAAAGGUAUAUUUAUUUGAACAGUUCUAAAGACUUCCAUGAUUUCAUCAAAGUUAGACUGUUUCUUUGAGUCCUGAAGUCUACUGGGGAAGGAAACCUUGGGUUUGUAUGUUUCUAUAGGUUCUUCCCUUUUUUCUGGUUUGUCCUGUUCUUGACCUCUCUUCUGAAUUGGGUUCUUAUCGGAUUCAUUUUUAUUUUCUUUUUCAUGUUCAGGAAGUUGGAUUUUAUUGUCCACUUGCUUGCCAGACCUUAAAGUGGUAAUUGCCUGGACUUCAUAGGUCGGAUUUCCAUUGAUUUGAUACUGACCUCUUUGAUCUUGAUUUUGUUAUCUACUAGGGUUAGGCACUGGUUGACUAGGUAGUUCACCUUUCUUUCUAUCCCCUAGAGAGUUUGCUAUUUGGCUUAGACUAACCUCAAGUUUUGCAAUUGCUUGCGCAUGGAAUUGGUUAAUCUGGGCUUAGGCUGUAUUGGUCUGUUGUUGUUGCUUGAUAAAAUCUUGUUGUUGUUUCAUCAUAUUAGCCAUCAUGGUUUCUAAUGGUGAAGAUUGCUGUAGGAUAGGAGCAUUAUAGGGAGGUACAGAUGGAACCAAAGAUUGGUUCAUUUGUGGGGGCCCUAUCCUGGAAAAGUUGUUCUGAAAACCUGGUGGACCACCUUGAUGCUGAAUAGGUUCGUUCUGCUUAUAUGAGAAAUUUAGGUGGAACCUAUUAUCAGGGUGGUAAACUGGGCUGAACGAAUUGGGAGUGGGCUUCUUGAAGGCACUAUACGAAUUUAGAGCAUUUGCUUGCUCGGCCUUUAUGUUGGGUAAACUAGGACAACACUCCACUAGAUGCUCAGAACUGUUACACAAGAUAUAUAAACUAUGUGACUCGUGAUCCACUUUCAUGAUGGGAUUUAACUCUUUAUAUGAACUCGAGCUAGUGGAAAUAGUGAAAGCAUCAAACUUUUUGCUUAAGUUGUUCAUUCCAGUCACCAGAUUGGAUAUGACAUUUUUGAGAUCUGGGUCUGCUUUCAUUUCAUAAUUACCUGGUUUUCUAGAUCCGAACUCAUCUCUAUUUACUUCCUCACCAUAGCUACUCCAAUUUUGGGCGUUUUCAGCUAAGUCAACAAGAAAUUCAUAGGCUUGAUCUGGGGUUUGGUUCAUGAACCUACUCUUAUGCAUGGACUCAAUCAUGUUUCUAUGUGCCGGAGGUAGUCCUUUAUAAAAGAAGUGGACCAGAUCAGCCUUAUCAAGCCCAUGGUGCGGGCACUUGACCAAAAGAUCAUGGAAUCUUUCCCAAAGUUGGAAAAAUUCCUACUCAGAUUUUCCUCUAAAAGUUCUUAUGGCAUCCUUAAUUUUUUCAGUCUUUACCAUAGGAUAGAACCUAGCCAUGAACUUCUUAGAUAGUUGUUCCCAUGAUGUGAUGGAAUUUGAAGCAAAGGAAUACAGCCAUGCAGCAGUACGAUCCUCUAAAGUCAUGGAAAACAACCUUAAUUUAAAACCCUCUUCAUCUAAGUUUUGAUUUCUAAAUGUUUGACAGAUUGUCAAAAAUUUGUUUAGAUGAAUAUAGGGUUGUUCACUCUCGAACCUAUGAAACUUGGGUAACAUGUUUAUUGUUGCAGCCCGAAUUUCAAAUUGGGCUGCAUUAUUUAUUGGCAAUACUAUACAUGUAGGUGGACUAGCGAAUGCAGGAGCGAAUAAUUCAUUCAGGGUACUAAUGUGAUCACCCAUUGUAUAGAUUGGUGGUUGAUCAAUAAUUCGUCGGAUGUGAUGAUGCUUUUUUCUAACCUCUGGGUUAAAUGGUGUUAACUUACCCCUUAAUGAUCUUCUACCAUGCAUACAUUAUCCACAACUUAAUUAGACUCGACUCCUAAACGAAAUCCUAGAAGAAGAGAAGAAGAGCUAGACCAAGAUGACCACAAUCAACACCACACAACAAUUUGACCCUAUUAGUCUUAGAACUAAGUGAGGUUUAGUAGCUUUUAAAAUCUAGUUGCACAGAGAUUUAUCAGGUUAAAAAGUUUCUGAAAAUCUAGACAGCUCCUAAUCUCCCUUUCAGAUUAAGCUUGAGCUUACCAGUUAAGUGAUCCAGUAACCAGUGACCAGAAAAGUUCCGGGGUGUGUGGUGGUGCCAGAAGGGAUACACCGAUACCACAAUACCCGUAACAGUUCUCACUGUUGUAAAACUUUCCUAAACAUCACCAAUUACUAAAUUCUCACUAGAGUGACUUUCAACCGCUUCUUUCCAAGAGCCUAAUUGAGCUCGAAAACCCUAAGGCCAACGUCUAAUUUGAUUUUAAUUUAAUUUUGCUUAGGAUAUGUAUGCAAGGUGCUGAUUUUUGGGCUAAGGACAGGUAAUGACUUUCCGACUUUAUCUUUUUAAUGGAUUUUGCCCUUAAAUUAUUUUAUGCAAAUGCUUAAUACUAAAUGCAGCAAAUAAUUAAUAAUUUUUAAAGUUUAUUCAAUGUCAUUAGGUUGUACUGAUUAAAUGAGCAAACUAAUUUUUUUAUUUUUUAUUUUUUAAUUUUUUUUAUUUUUUAUUUUUUAUUUUUUAUAUAGCAAUAACUUGAAUGUAAACUAAACACAAUUCUUAUGCGUCAGUCAAUCUCCGAAUGCCCGUUGAAUAAGCUCUGGAGAUUACUCCGUGAGGAGCCCCAAUAGAGGUAUGAUAACCUCGGAGGAUUGCACCUUAUCAAUUACUAACAAAAAUAAUAUUUUUUUAAUUUUUUAUUUACUUAUUUUUUUAAACUUUUUUUAAAAUUUAAAUUUCAAAUUUUGAAUCUCAGAAUUCAAAUUUUGAAUUUAAAUUUUAUGAAUUUUUGAAUUUUUGAAUUUUUUUAAUUUUUUUAAAUAUCUUUUUUUUGAAUUUUAUUUUUUUUGCUUUUUUAAAAAAAACUUUAAUUUUCAAAUUUCAAAUUUUAGAAUUUAAUAACUACAAAAUUAUUAACUAAAAAUAAUCAAAAUAAGGAAAAUUAAUAAAAAUGAAAACUUACUACUGGAGUGUGUUCACUCCGGGCAUCCUAAAUCCAAUUAGAUCUUCGUGAUCGUUCUUGCUUCUCGAUUUGCCUUCCCGGCAACGGCGCCAAGAUUCUGUUCGUCCGAUUUCUGUCUACCUAAAAAUAUGCUAGACAGAUCGUUGUUAGAACCGACGAACAAAAGUUAAAUUUAAAUUUUACUCUUACCUUUCCUACUCGAAGAAUAGUGGUUAUAAGAGGUCGAUCCACAGGGAGGCGAUUGGAGUUGCAUAAAAAUUAGAACGUUCACUUGGAUUCAAAAUCGAUUUUUGAAUAACAAAACAAAAACAUGAUGUCGGGGAUGAUGAUAGAUUCUCUAAUUUACCAGAGAAUUUUCUUUAUUUAAAAAUAAUAAAAAGAUAAGUACUUAGAAAUCAAAGAGCAUUUAUAAAUUCAUGAAAUGUUUAACUAUUCAAAGGAAAAUUUUGGCAUAAAUUAAAAUGGAUGAAAGCAAGUGCUAAGAAGAUCAAAACCCUAGAACAUAAAUUGCAUAAAAGAAAAUUUAAUAUAUUGCAUCNNNNNNNNNNNNNNNNNNNNNNNNNNNNNNNNNNNNNNNNNNNNNNNNNNNNNNNNNNNNNNNNNNNNNNNNNNNNNNNNNNNNNNNNNNNNNNNNNNNNNNNNNNNNNNNNNNNNNNNNNNNNNNNNNNNNNNNNNNNNNNCCCUUUUACAAAUAACAUAAAAAAAAUAUAAAACAAAUAAGCUUCUCCCUCAACAUAAAAACAAUUUUUUUAUUUCUUUCUUCUUCCCAAGAGAAACAGAGCAAUGCUCUGUUUCUUCUUUCUCCUUUCUUUGGGCUCGCCGACCACCCGCCCUGGACCCACCGGCCACUCGCCGAGAGCUCCCCGCCUCCUCCUUCUUCCCCUCUUCUUAUAGCCCUUGGAGACGUUGGGAUUCCGAAAAAAUCACGGCCGGCCGGACGCGAUGCUUGGAUCACGGAAGGCUGGGAUUGCGUGAUGCGGAGGAUGGAUGGAUCGUCCGCGAUGCUGGGGUUGAAAUGGAGGGGCUGCAUGUCAUCCGGGAUGCUGGGGUUUCCUUCACGGACGUGGGAUCGUUGCUCUUCCCUUCUUUGGGUGCCGGAUUGGAAGCGGGAUCGAUGGGGAGGAGCCGAUCGUGGAAGGGAUCCGGUGCGGAUCGGGUGGAACACGGGAUGCUUGCUGGGAAUCCAGAAUGGCUUGAGAUGCGGACGGGCUGGAAUCCGAAAGAGGUGAGGAUGCUGCGUCGGAUGGAAAGAGCCAGAUCACGGGCGUGAAUCUGGGAACUCAAUGGUUGGCUGGAUCGGGCGUGGUGGAUUGGAAACGGAAGGAGGGAGAGGGCGGACGGUGAGAGGAGGCAUUGAUGAAGUGGAAGGAGGGAUCUGCGGCUUGGAUCCUGGCUGGAGCUGGGAGGAAUCGCGGAGGCGCACGGACCGGCUUGAUGCGGAAGGCGGGGACGCGGGCUUCCUUCUUCGGUUGCUGGGAAAGAGGAGGAGCUUGGGGCACAGUGCGGGAUCCGUAGAGGGCGCCGUGGGACCGCUGCUGGGAGGAGCGGACGUGGGAGGCUGACGUGGCUUGCUGAUUUGGGAGGCUUGGAAGAGGGGCUGAAGUUGGGGAGAGCUGAUCUUGAUCAUUGGAUGCGGACACGGAGAUGCUCGCGAUGUUGUGAUAUAUCGCGGGAUGAAGUCAGGAUGUGCAGGCCCUGGAAGAUGCUGGCUUGACUUGAGCUCGGGCUGCCGGGCAUUGGGCUCAAACCCAAUAUUAUUGGGUUUCUUGGAUUACUUGUACUCCAAUACAAAUACAACGUUAAUUAGUUAAUUUUAUUAUUAAUGAUUAGCCAGAAUACUAAUUAAGAUGGUACGACGAUUGCACUUUUGUGCUCUCAUCACACCCCCCAACCAGCUUAUUGCUAGUCUCUAGCAAUUUAGUGCGAACAUGAUAAAAUAAGAGUACAAAAGUGUUGUUUAUUAUAAAUAUACUAAGAUAAAUACUCACUUUCGUAAAGCAUUACGAUUGCACUUAGCACGUGCAACAAGCCGUUAAACUCCUAGGUUACCCUAGUGGACGAGUGUUGUCUCGUGAGGGUUUGCAGUGAAGUUACCCACAAACUUCAUCAGUCAGGAAUUUUCAAUUUUUAACUCAAAAUUUUAACAGGUAUUACUGUAUGAAACUAGAAUUUCAAGGAUAAUAGAGACUCGUUGCUAUUAUAUUUAAGCAGACUCUAACUCAAGUUUCAUUACUCCAUAUCUAUCUGCUAACAAGUCAAGAAUGUAGUGAGGUGCAAGAUAGUAUCAUAUAAAUGAGUGGCUUUCACUUACUUCCAACAUGAUCACUCCAAUUUUCAAGACUUUCUAGAGUUAAAUGGUAAUGAACACCCCAGAUUUAUUUAUUUAUUUAUUUAUUUUAUUUUAUCUUUUUGAAUGCUAAGAAGAAUGACUUGUGUAAUAUCUAGCCUUAUUAAGCUUUCUAGCUGAUCCAUGUAGCGAGUGUUAGGCCAAUGACUCCCGAUCCAGAUGGCUCAGGGCACUAGGUGUAGAAACACCCUAACAGGCUUAAUAACUCAAGUUAACUAGGCUUCAAGGCCAAAUUAGUCACUCAGAGUUUAAUCUCAAUCAUCCUCACCUUUUUACGCGAACACUCGCUGCUUGUCAGGCAAGAGGCCCGAUUACUCAGUGAGAAGACUUAAAAUAAACUCAUUAUUUUUAUUUUAUUUUAUCUUUUUUUUUUGAUUAGGGUGUUCAUCACACAUAUAACUUUAAAUUAUCCCGAAGAUUAAAAGUAUUCAUAUUAGUUGCAAGUAUACAUACCCCACUAUUCAUGUGCUUACGUGUUGGUGCUAAAUCAUCUUGUAUCAUAUUAGCAGAAGAUAGGUGGGAUGAAAACUCAAGCUAGAACUGCUAUCAUAUUUCUUAACUCAAAGCUAUUGUCAAAGCAAUUCCUAAUUUGCACAGCCAAAAAGAUUAGAGUUUGAGUUAAAAAUUUGAACUCUCCUCUUUUUUUCUUUUUUUUGCAUAAAAAAUCAAAAAUAUUCUCACCCCCAUACCUAAAUCUAACAUUGUCCUCAAUGUUAAAGAAAAUUUAAGGCAGUAAUAGGACAGAGGAGAAGUUACCUAAUAUGGAUGGGUAAAGUGACAAUUGGGGCCAAAAACCUCCAAACCUGCAUGUUAGCAAAUUUUAUUAUUAUUAUUAUUAUUAUUAGUAGUAUUUUAUUUAUUUAUUACUAUUAUUAUUAUUAUUAUUGAUUUUUUUUUAUAAUAUUUACAUGUUGGGUUGCCUUCCAAGAGCGCUAAGUUUUAUGUCUUCAGCCGGACAAAAUGUAAAUCCUCCUUUUUUUUCAACCAUUAUCUAAGAAUGGUUUUGGAAGAGUCCGAUGAAGAACAGUCGGCUGAUGACGAUCUAUGCUCAUAAGGGGAACAGAACUAAGGGGCGCAUGCUUGACCCCUUCCUCGGAAUGGGCAAGGUAAGCUUCUAGAGGGUCCUUAUUAUAAGUUCGUAAGAAAGUCUUCUGAACCAGACUUUCAAUCAUGUCAACUUCAUUGAUUUCUUUGUCGUCUGGUCGUUGUUUACUUAUGUUGAAGACAUUAAGCUUGACUUUCAUGUUGCCAAAAGAUAACUUCAGCAUCCCAUUUCGACAGUUGAUCACAGCAUUUGCUUUGGCUAAGAAAGGUCUACCUAAAAUUAUAGGUGUGUGACUGUCUGGAUGUAUUGCAGGUUCAGUCUCAAGGAUAACGAAGUCCACAGGAUAGUAAAACUCAUUUACUUUNNNNNNNNNNNNNNNNNNNNNNNNNNNGGGAUACUUCACUGUCCUAUCUGCUAAGAAAGUGUAAUAUUUGUAGGCUUUAAUUCUCCCAAUCCUAAUUUUUGGUACACAUAGUAGGGAAGUAGGUUUACACUGGCUCCUACAUCUAAUAGAGCUCUCUGGAUGAUCGUCUCUCCUAUUUUUAUUUCAAUAGUUGGGCAACCAGGGUCUUUGAAUUUUGGGGCAAUUUGAAUGAGAGAUGAGGCUUGUGCAGCCAUAACAGCUUGCCUAGAAAUACUGAUUUUUCUUUUGACCGUGGUGAGGUCUUUCAAGAAUUUUGUAUAGGAGGGAAUUUGUCUUAUGGCAUCGAGAAAAGGUAUAUUUAUUUGAACAGUUUUAAAGACUUCCAUGAUUUCAUCAAAGUUAGAUAGUUUCUUGGAGUCCCGAAGUCUACUGGGAAAGGGAACCUUGGGUUUGUAUGUUUUUAUGGGUUCUUCCCUUUUU
rnacentral:lncRNA from 1 species